rnacentral:rRNA from 1 species
AAUUCCGCGGACGUCCUACGGGAGAAAGCAUGGGACCUGCGGGCCUUGCUCUAUUGGAUCAGCCUAGGUCGGAUUGGCUAGUUGGUGACGUAAUGGCUCACCCAUGCUACCACCCGCAACUGGGCUGACAACAUGAGGCCCCAGCCAUUAAAUCAGAUGGCUCCCCCACUCCUUCAGGAGGCAGCAGUGGGGAAUAUUGAAAAAUGGGCCAAAGGUUGAUCCAGCCAUGCCGCCUGAAGAACAAGGUCUUCGGAUUGUGAGCACUUUGACUUGGGAGGAAGGGCACUUUCUUAAUACGUCACUGUUUUGACGUUACCGACAGAAUAAGCACCGGCUAACUCUGUGCCAGCAGCCGCGGUAAUACAGAGGGUGCAAGCGUUAAUCGUAAUUACUGGGC